AAUGAGAAAAAUGUCAAAAAAUCACGAACUUUCAAAUUUAGGACGAUUUAGUCUUGAACUUCACGGAAGGCAAAUAAAUCGUAAAGUUUUUGUUGACUUCGAAAUAAAUGACAAAGUUUUUGUUGACUUGUCAUUUAAGUCAUGUCAUUAGAUCGGUUAACAUAAUUUUUUACGGCGUUAAUGUCUCAUUUAUCUCCUCUGUUAGAACAAAACAAUGUUGUUUAUUGCGGCUCGUUUUGUUUGUUGAAAUAAAUUUAAACCCUAAAUCCCCAAAUCGACUUCAAUAUCUGCGAGUUUGAGGUCAAUGUGGGUCUGUGAUUUUGAGAUAACGAAAUCGAUUUGGGGAACGCCGUAAAAAAAAUCUGUUAACCUAUUUAACGAUAUGAGUCAAAUGGCAAGUAAACAAAAACUUUGUCAUUUAUUUCGAAAGCCAAGAAAAACUUUACGAUUUAUUUGUCUUCCGUGAAGUUCAAGAUUAAAUCGUCCCAAAUUUGAAAGUUCGUGAUCUUUUUGACAUUUUUCCAUAUUUAAAUGGCUUGGAAUGGCUUUUUUAGUGGGCCAUAGUUUUUUUAGCAAUUUCGAAUGGGUUGGGGUGGUAUAAAACAAUUUUGAUUUUAAUCGUUAGAAACUGUUACGUUUGUGGAUGGUUGUGGUAGAAU
rnacentral:sRNA from 1 species